rnacentral:rRNA from 1 species
GAUGAACGCUGGCGGCGUGCCUAAUACAUGCAAGUCGAGCGAACAGACGAGGAGCUUGCUCCUCUGACGUUAGCGGCGGACGGGUGAGUAACACGUGGAUAACCUACCUAUAAGACUGGGAUAACUUCGGGAAAAAGGAGCUAAUACCGGAUAAUAUAUUGAACCGCAUGGUUCAAUAGUGAAAGACGGUUUUGCUGUCACUUAUAGAUGGAUCCGCGCCGCAUUAGCUAGUUGGUAAGGUAACGGCUUACCAAGGCAACGAUGCGUAGCCGACCUGAGAGGGUGAUCGGCCACACUGGAACUGAGACACGGUCCAGACUCCUACGGGAGGCAGCAGUAGGGAAUCUUCCGCAAUGGGCGAAAGCCUGACCGAGCAACGCCGCGUGGGUGAAGAAGGUCUUCGGGUCGUAAAACUCUUUUAUUAGGGAAGAACAAAUGUGUAAGUAACUAUGCACGUCUUGACGGUACCUAAUCAGAAAGCCACGGCUAACUACGUG